rnacentral:rRNA from 1 species
CGGUCUCAGUUGGAUUGAAGGCUGAAAUUCGCCUUCAUGAAGCUGGAAUUGCUAGUAAUGGCAGGUCAGCAUACUGCCGUGAAUACGUUCCCGGGCCUUGUACACACCGCCCGUCACACCAUGAGAGUUGGGAAUACCCGAAGCCUGUGAGCUAACUGUAAGGAGGCAGCAGUCGAAGGUAGAAUCAAUGAUUGGGGUGAAGUCGUAACAAGGUAAC